UCCGUAGGGUGCAAUCAUUGUCCGGAUUUAUUGGGUUUAAAGGGUGCGUAGGUGGCUUUUUAAGUCAUGGGUGAAAGCCCGCAGCUCAACUGUGGAAUUGCCUGUGAUACUGAGGAGCUUGAGUGCGGUUGAGGCAGCUGGAAUUGGUGGUGUAGCGGUGAAAUGCAUAGAUACCACCAGGAACACCGAUUGCGAAGGCAGGUUGCUAAGCCGUAACUGACACUGAGGCACGAAAGCGUGGGGAGAAAACAGG
rnacentral:rRNA from 1 species